rnacentral:snoRNA from 1 species
AUAAGUUAUGUGUUGUCGUAAAUAUGGACGAACAGACAUUGGUAGGCAUUAGGUGGGCAUGCAAAAAGUGUUAUUGUGUCCAUAAAGGUCCUACAUAUAUGG